AAUGAACGCUGGCGGCGUGCCUAACACAUGCAAGUCGAACGAGAAAGCCCGCAAGGGUAAGUACAGUGGCGCACGGGUGAGUAAUACACAGGAAUCUGCCCUAGUGUGGAGAAUACCCUGGAGAAAUUCAGGUUAAUACUGCAUAAGCCCAGAAAUGGGGAAAGGUGGCCUCAAGCUACCGCACAAGGAUGAGCCUGUGGCCUAUUAGCUAGUUGGUGAGAUAAAAGCUUACCAAGGCGAAGAUGGGUAACCGGCCUGAGAGGGUGUACGGUCACACUGGAACUGAGACACGGUCCAGACUCCUACGGGAGGCAGCAGUGGGGAAUUUUGCGCAAUGGACGAAAGUCUGACGCAGCAACGCCGCGUGGGUGAUGAAGGUCUUCGGAUUGUAAAACCCUGUCGCCAGGGACGAAGGGUGGGGCGUGAAUAGCGUUCUACUUUGACGGUACCUGGAAAGGAAGCCCCGGCUAACUCUGUGCCAGCAGCCGCGGUAA
rnacentral:rRNA from 1 species